rnacentral:rRNA from 1 species
GACGAACGCUGGCGGCGUGCUUAACACAUGCAAGUCACGGGGGCCCGCAAGGGCAACCGGCGAACGGGUGCGUAACACGUGAGCAACUUACCGAUUUGUGGGGGAUAGCCUGCCUAACGGCAGGGUAAUACCGCAUACGCUCAUUGAGGGGAGUCCCUCGAUGAGGAAACCUCCGGGGCAAAUCGAGGGGCUCGCGGCCUAUCAGCUAGUUGGUGCGGGUAAUGGCCCACCAAGGCGANGACGGUAGCUGGUCUGAGAGGAUGGCCAGCCACAUUGGGACUGAGAAACGGCCCAGACUCCUACGGGAGGCAGCAGUGGGGAAUCUUGCGCAAUGGACGAAAGUCUGACGCAGCGACGCCGC